UUUUUUUUUUUUUUUUGCUGUGUUUUAUAUUAUGAAUGAUUUGUUCUGGGCUUUUGUUUUUACUUCAAUGGUGCUCAUUUGAUAUUUGAAUUUUUACCCCUACAGGUUGCCUGUUUUUAUAGAAUUGUAUGCAGAGUUAAAAUUCUCUGAAUUUGUUAUAGAUAUGAGAAAUGUUCAUGAGUUCUUGCAAUCGGUCUGUGGGGUCUUUAUGUUCCUCUGUUUAGAUAAGCCUGAACAGAGGAAUGGGGGGGGGCUAAGAUAGAGUUAUCAAUCACAGCCGGGGCGCCACAGGAGGUAAGCUACAGCCAGCCCAUUGACAGGUUAUCCUUUGAAAGGCUCUCACGUCGCACUCAUAUUCGUGUGUGUGUGUUUAUGUGUGAGAGCCAGUGUGUGUGUGUGUCUGUAUGCACAUGUAUUGUAUUGUGUUCGUCUCAGGUGGCAGGGGCCAACACAAAGGCUGGGCCAUUAAAAGAUAAGGGCGCACUGAAACCUAACCCAGCCUCCGUCAAUCAGUUCCCCCUCCUCCUAACACACAUGCACACAAUGGAUGAGGAAAAAAAGGGGCGAAAAGGAAAGAAGAAGCACAGAAGGAGCGGUUGGAAAGGUGUGAGAUGAAGGGAGAGGAAACAAUACAACAGAGCAGAGAAUUUACCAGCAUGUGACGAAUAUUCUCAAUUAGUCUUAUAAACUGAGCUCACUUUCGGAAAAUUUUUCAUAUAGCACAAAACCUCCAAAUAUUUAAUUUUUAUUUGUGGUUUUUAUGUUAAAACUAUUGAACCAUUACUUAUAUCUAACCAGCAUCAGUUUGCUGACCAAUGGGUCGACGCCGACACUGACAAUCCCACUUCCCACCACAAGGGGGCUCAGCAGACCUGCUCUUAUCAGCGGAGACCAAACAGGUCUCUCAGUUUUCUCUACACAAUUACCCUGUCUGGUAAACAAGGAGCAGAGAGAGGAAGGAACAAAAGCUGGAAAAUUAAGACAGAAAGACAGAAAGGACACGAAGCAAUAUAAAUCUGAACAGAGUCAGAGGGACAAUCGUGCCGAAAGGAGAGAAAAACAAGAGCCGAGCGCAAACAGGAGCAGAAAGGAUUUCGGCUGCAUGAGUCGGCCCAGAGAGGAGGAGCAGGAGGAGGGGAUGCAUAGAGACGGGCGAGGAAAGAAGGCCAGAUGGAGAACAGAAAAGAGGAAAUCUAACCCUGGGAACGAGGGAAGCCCAACGCUGAGAUUUGUUCUUGUCGAACACUCCUACGUGUUCUUCACAGUGACAACAAUAUCUCGCAGAUAGCAGGUUUGUCUCCGAAUGAUCUAAAUUUGAUGUUUUUGAAGGGAGUCAAUUAUAUUUCUGUCUGAAUUUUCCUGUAAUCGUGCAAUUUUCUGUCAGUGUAUCAUGUCAGAAUCGAGGAUUUCAGAACAAUAAAAAGACCAACAAGAGAUUU